rnacentral:lncRNA from 10 species
CUUUUAACAGCCCUAUGAAGAAGGUUUUAUUUUAUCAUCGCCAUUUUACAGAAGAGAAAAUACAGAAAAGGAAAUUCAAUUAUACACUAACUUUAAGGAUCAUCAGUGGAGGAAUGGGGGUCCUUGAGAACUCGCCUUUAUGUUGCACUAUCAUAUUGACCGAUUUCUGUGUCCGUGUGAACACUUCAACAGAUUUCUGUCUUCUAAGAUCCUUGGAAUUCUCAAAUGCAGUAACUUUCACCUCCCAAUUUUUUCAGCAUCUCACUCUCAGGUCACAGCCUGUUUCUUCUCACAUGUGACCCUGGCCCACCCACUGCUGAUCAUUUAUCCCUGAUAAUCCUGUGUUCACCUGCAUGGAAGCCACAAGGACAGCUCAGAGGAUCUCAGAAAUGGCAUGGGCUCUGGAACAGUAGGAAGACAGGGAGGCAUCCAAGAGUGAAGAUGAAACUGCCUUCACGAGGACCGGAAGUGGAGGGUGGCAACAAACCAUGUGUCCAGGGACAAAACUGCUGAAUCUGGACAGACUGCACAGAACAUUGUUUGAGUGACAUGAAAAGAAAGGCGGUGAGCUGGGCUUCAAUACAGGAAACUCAGUCACAGUCCACGAGUGGCCACAACUAUGUUAAGAGGCCAAUAUCUAUCUCUAGAUGCCUGAGUUCCAAAGGACUUGGGCUUGUUUUAAAAAGGUCAAGAAAAAUUACUGUGGGAGAGUCACUGGACAGCCCAGAUAAUACUGACUUUGUCAUAGACACAGGGUGGGGAAAGAGAAAAGGAUGGAAAAAGAGAAGAGUCCAUGUAAGAGAAUUGGAAGAGCCCUGAGGAAUAAAGUGGUCAGCAGCAAGAAACACAAAUGGGGAAACUCUAAGAAAUGUUUUAAGUGUAUCAGCAACCAGGUUUGAUAAAGCACCAAAGUUCUUAGCACAGUGCCUGCCACAAUCUUAUAGUUAAAUCAAUUUGAUAUUAAUGUCAGGAGGUGCUAACAGAAAAUAGCAAAGAGUGUAGCCUUUGAACUCAGACUGUGGUUUUAGCAUCUGCUCCACCACAGACUAGACUGUGACCUUUUCAAGAUUCUGUCUUCCCAUCUGUAAAACUGAGAUGAUAACAGUAUCUAUGUUAGUUUUCUCAGACUGCCAUAACAAAAUACCACACACUGGGUGGCAUAAAUAGCAAAAAUUUAUUUUGUCAGAAUUUUGGAGUCUAGAAAUCCAAGAUCAGGGUGCUGGCAGGGUAGAUGACCUCUGAGACCCCUUUCCUUAUCUUACAGAUGGCCACCCUCUUACUGUCUCUUCACAUGGUCAGCUUUCUGUGCACCAGGGACAAUGUCCUAAUAAGGACACCAGUCAGAUUGGAUUAGGUCCAGCCCAAAGGGCUCCAUUUUAACUCAGUGACCUCUUUAAUGGCCCUAUCUCUAAAUACAGCCACAUUCUAAAGUAUGGGAAUUAGGACCUCAACAUAUGAUCUUGGGGGGAACAUAUUUUAGCCCAUCACAUUAUACAGUCCUUGGCAAUGUGUACUCAAUGAGAUACUGUAUAUAAAACAAAUGUUAGAAACAUGGUACAUAAUGAAUCUUCAAUAUAUGUUAGCAAUUAUUACCAUUUUUUCUAAUAAAUAUCAGUCAAAUAGAUGAAAGAAAUCAAUGUUCAGAUAUCUGUUUCCUCAUUUGAUGGUCAUCAACACAAGACAGGGGAAAGCAAAGAACUUUAGCCAUCUUGAACUAACACAUGUGCAAUGAAAGGAAUAUUGGAGAAAGCAAACCACAGUCUUGUUUAAAACAUGUUACUUAUUUGAGGAAAGAGUUCUGAAUAAAUUUAGAACUGAUGAAGUAUUUAGUAA